GAUGAACGCUGGCGGCGUGCUUAACACAUGCAAGUCGAACGAUGAGGCCCAGCUUGCUGGGUGGAUUAGUGGCGAACGGGUGAGUAACACGUGAGUAACCUGCCCUUGACUCUGGGAUAAGCCUGGGAAACUGGGUCUAAUACCGGAUACGACCAUCUGGCGCAUGUCAUGGUGGUGGAAAGCUUUUGUGGUUUUGGAUGGACUCGCGGCCUAUCAGCUUGUUGGUGGGGUAAUGGCCUACCAAGGCGACGACGGGUAGCCGGCCUGAGAGGGUGACCGGCCACCAUGGGACUGAGGCACGGCCCAGACUCCUACGGGCGGCAGCAGUGGGGAAUAUUGCACAAUGGGCGCAAGCCUGAUGCAGCGACGCCGCGUGAGGGAUGACGGCCUUCGGGUUGUAAACCUCUUUCAGUAGGGAAGAAGCGAAAGUGACGGUACCUGCAGAAGAAGCGCCGGCUAACUACGUG
rnacentral:rRNA from 1 species